AGUCCAACCAGCACCAUGCAUUUGUGAAAUACUUGGCAAAUCCAUAUGCCAUCCAUUUCAGAAGCAUCUCCAGAAUGAAGAUAAAGGUACAAGCUCAGCGGGAUCUUCGUUUGACAGACCAUCCACUGUACUCCCCUCAGAGGCACUGCUUUGCCCAUCAUCGUCAUCACCAUCGACAACCUGGUGUGUCUUCUAAAAGCUGGCAUGAGCUAGAAUGCCUUCCUGCCGAGUGCAGACUACCAUGGGACCAGCUGGUGAAGUGCUGGCAGU